UACGUAGGUGGCGAGCGUUGUCCGGAUUUACUGGGCGUAAAGAGCGCGCAGGCGGUCGUACAAGUCGCGUGUGAAAGCCCCCGGCUCAACUGGGGAGGGUCAUUCGAUACUGAUCGACUCGAAGGCAGGAGAGGGUAGUGGAAUUCCCGGUGUAGUGGUGAAAUGCGUAGAUAUCGGGAGGAACACCAGUGGCGAAGGCGACUUCCUGGCCUGUUCUUGACGCUGAGGCGCGAAAGCUAGGGGAGCAAACGGG
rnacentral:rRNA from 1 species